UACGUAGGGUGCGAGCGUUGCCCGGAAUUACUGGGCGUAAAGCGCGUGUAGGCGGCUGUGCAAGUCGGAUGUGAAAUCCCGUGGCUCAACCACGGAAGUGCACCCGAAACUGCGCAGCUGGAGUCUCGGAGAGGAAGGUGGAAUGCUUGGUGUAGAGGUGAAAUUCGUAGAUAUCAAGCGGAACACCGGUGGCGAAGGCGGCCUUCUGGACGAUGACUGACGCUGAGACGCGAAAGCGUGGGGAGCAAACAGG
rnacentral:rRNA from 1 species